AUUGAACGCUGGCGGCAGGCCUAACACAUGCAAGUCGAGCGCGCGGCGGACGGGUGAGUAAUGUCUGGGACACUGCCUGAUGGAGGGGGAUAACUACUGGAAACGGUAUCUAAUACCGCAUACCCUCAGAUGUGCCCAGAGGGGAUUAGCUAGUAGGGGGGGUAACGGCUCACAUAGGCGACGCUCCCUAGCUGGUCUGAGAGGAGGACCAGCCACACUGGAACUGAGACACGGUCCAGACUCCUACGGGAGGCAGCAGUGGGGAAUAUUGCACAAUGGGCGAAAGCCUGAUGCAGCCAUGCCGCGUGUGUGAAGAAGGCCUUCGGGUUGUAAAGCACUUUCAGCGGGGAGGCGUUACCCGCAGAAGAAGCACCGGCUAACUCCGUGCCAGCCGCCGCGGUAAUAC
rnacentral:rRNA from 1 species